GCCUGAGUGGCUCAGUGGUUGAGUGUCUGCCUUUGGCUCAGAGCGUGAUUCCGGGGUCCUGGGAUUGAGUCCCACAUCAGGCU
rfam:Canis lupus familiaris chromosome 18, whole genome shotgun sequence.